CAAAAAUGUCUAUUCUCAGAGGUUGAUAUGAGGAUUCAAUGAGACUCUAUGUUAAAGUAUCAGAUGGUAGCAGGUACACAGCAGCUGGUUAAUAAAUACAUUAUUUUCCUUUUAGUCUGCAGAUUAGGGAUUAUAAAUUGGUAAUUUAUGGAGGACAACUGGUGUAACUGGCAAAUUAAAAACAGAGAAAGAGAUUAAAAUUAAACUCAAAAUUCUGGAUUGCUGGCUUCCCCCAACCAAAAAAAAAAAAAGUCAAUAAAUCUAAGUUAUUUCUGAAUAGCAAGGACAGGCUCAGGAGGAAGAGAAGAGGAGAAUGACGGUUUUAAAAAUAUGUAGUUUGAGAUACUGAAGUUGUAUUGAGAAAGAUGCUUGGCUAACAAAUGGGAAGGGGGCUAUGGAGCACAGAAGCAACAGUACAGGUGGGGAAACAUUGUUUUGGGUACCAUCAACAGAGAGAUAAUUAAUAAAGAACCAUCUGUUAGUUUGUGAAACUAUGUGUCAAGCAUGUUACAGGUGUAGGGGAUAUAUCAGUGGGUAACACAGGCAAAAAUCUCUCUUCUCAUGAGGUUUAAGUGAGAAGCAGACAAUAAACAAAUAGAUAAAACAUAGGUCAUUUAUAAAAUAAUAAGUGAUAUGGAGAAAAAUAAAUCCAGAAAGGAGGUUAGAGAAUGGGAUGUGUAUGUGUGGUUGGUUUGCAAUUCUAUUAUAAACACUGGGUGUGUAUCUGGGUGGUUUGCAAUUUUAAACAGGGAGCUUGAACCAAGAUCUGAAGAAUGCAAAAGAAAACCAGGUAUAUGCUGGAGGUAGAGGAUGAAGGAGGAAGAUUCUAUGUACAAGAAACAGCAUGUACAAAAGCCUUGAGUUUUAGGAAGAAGAAUCCAAAGAAAAGAAGAAAGCUGAGAUGAAAGGAAGAAACAAAGAUGGUGAAGGAACCAGUACUAAUUCAUGAGGAAUUAGGACAAGUGGAAUGUGAUGUGGGAAGGUUAAUAGCUCAAAUGCGUCAAUAAAGAUGAGGAAUGAGAAAAAGACAUUGGAUUUGAAAUACUCAUGACUUUCAAAGACGAACUUCCUAAGUUGCUGAAGGCUUACACAGAUAAUUAUAGAACAAGUCAUCCGUGAAGAAAAGUGAAUAGUACAUUUGGACAACUUUUCCAAAGACAGUAACAAUAAAAAGAAAACGAGAGAACACGAUGACUUGAUGAGGUGGCCAAAUUGCAGGACUACUUUUUAGAAAGAGGUUUCACUUUCUAGUACAGUGAUGAAAAGGAGAAAGAAAACGAAACCAAAAUCCUUUAAGACAACCUUACCAGGGAUUCUAGAUACCCAGGUCCUGCUUGGUUGCUCCAAAGACUGAAGGGGCUACAUUUGGUAUAAUAAGCUAUUUAAGGUAUACAAUUACAUUGUGACACUGAUUAAAAAGGCUUCCUCUAGGGCUUUAGGCCUCAAACCCACCAAGCCAAAUUUACACAUAGAAGGAAGAUGUAAGCUUUUGGGCAUGAACUAUAUAGUCCAUCACUGAUGAUCCUGAUGGGUACGACCUAUUCAAAUCAUACCAACUCAAAAUCAUGACUUGUAUAACUCAGGAAGAUUUUUUUCCUGAGAGGACCCAUUAGACAGUGUCAUGUUUGGGCAGCCCCCUUGUUUAAUAUUCCAGAGAAUAUAAUCCCAAUGUGAAAUAAUAUGAGCUGUCUCACAGGUUUCCUACACAGAUGAGGUGACUACUCCCCAGCCAGGGUGCAUAUUAACACCAUCUACGAUAGUGAACACCAGAUCCUGUCUUCUCAGAAAUUCUCAGAGUUGCCAGAUGUCCUGUGUGUGCAACUGUAACUAUAUCCCUCUUGAUCAUAUGGCAAUGACUAGUAACAUAAUUGUUACUGUUAGGUUCUCCCAACCUCUAUCUCAUAGAGACUCAAGCACACACACAAAAAUUAUGGUGUCAUAAUUACAGUAUGGCUUCCGAGGAAACGCCAUGGAAGUGUUCUAUAUACCCCUUAGAAACACAUACUCUACAACUAUGUAUAUUGAAGGAGGGAGUGAAGAGGUGAGAAGAGGAGGAAAUACUUCAUAGGACAAAAUCCCAGAAUGCUGACUCAGCAUAAGCUUAUUUGCUUCCAGCCAGGGACAGCUGCAGCACACUGGCUUGAGAAUGGCAGAAAAAGUAAAAGAGAAUUCUUUAUAAAUCUCAAGAAACACAGUUUCCUAAUAAGAAGACACACCUUACACAACUUGUUUAAGGAUGUCAAGAAAAUACCAGACAAGAACUCAGUCUGAGUCUCCAGCCUGAGAAGUGGACAUAAGCAAGCAAUAUCUUUCUGUUCACCCACUCUGAUAUGUUUAAGAAGUUUGUCUUACAAGGAUGAAAAAGUAACAACCCCAAACCCCAAUCAAGUUGCUUUACCAAAGAAUCAAUUCACAGACAAGAGGGUUAACCUAAGUGUCUCCAAAAGACAUCAAAUAUUCCAGGCUUAAGAACACACAUACCCCAAAGAUUAAAUAAGAACAUGAAGGCCAGGGGUGGUGACUCACACCUAUAAUCCCAGCACUUUGGGAGGCCGAGGUGGGUGGAUCACCUGAAGUUGGGAGUUCAAGACCAGCCUGACAGAGAUGGAAAAACCCCACCUCUAUUAAAAACACAAAAUUAGCUGGGUACAGUGGCGCAUGCCCUGAUCCCAGCUACUUGGCAGGCUGAGACAGGAGAAUCACUUGAAUCCAGGAGGCAGAGGUUGCAGUAUGCAGAGAUCCCACCAUUUCAUUACAACCUGGGCAACAACAGCAAAACUCUGUCUCAAAACAACAACAACAACAAAGAAUGAAAAACAGUCUAUAGUCUGGACAGUGGAAAACCAACUUAGUCAUACCGACAUAAUAUAAAUACUAUUUGGCUAGAGUAGUGAGUGACAAUUUGGAAAUAUAUUGGAAACUAAUUUAUGAGAGUUGACUAGAUUCCAAAACUUUGGAUCCCUUGCCCUGACCAUUUCUGGUGCAACCCCAUCCUUUACUGGCCUCUCCAAGUGUCUUCAACAACGGACUACAUUUCUGCUUAGAUACCAGAUGGGACUAUGGCUACAUCAUAUUGCAGAGUUCUAAAAUUAUAAACAAGCAGCUACUUUAAGAAAUAAGAACACAAAUAAAAUUAAUAACCAUGUCAGUGAAGAGAGAGCCUUACAGGAUACAUUAGAAUUAAUCAUGAAAUUAAAACACUAGCACAUAGAUGCUGCCAUAAUACUUGGAAACAAAUGACUGAAAGACUGCAUGAAUUCUGCAAUUUUAAGCAUUAUUCUUCAUUUAUAAUUAUUUUUCAAUGGCUGAUUCAUCUGGUAAAUAUUUUUAAGUACAGGCACACAGUUGUGGAAUUAUUUAAUUUGUAAAAUAGUUUUUCUACUAUCCUAAUUUUUCAAUAAGAAACAUCUACUGAACACCUACUACAGAUUAGAUGUCAUGACAAAAGUAAAUAAAGCUUCCUAACCAUAAGGAGGUUACA